rnacentral:rRNA from 1 species
UUCCUACGGGACGCAGCAGUGAGGAAUAUUGGUCAAUGGGCUUACGCCUGAACCAGCCAAGUCGCGUGAGGGAAGACUGCCCUAUGGGUUGUAAACCUCUUUUGUCAGGGAGCAACGCCGGCUACGUGUAGCCGGACUGAGAGUACCUGAAGAAAAAGCAUCGGCUAACUCCGUGCCAGCAGCCGCGGUAAUACGGAGGAUGCGAGCGUUAUCCGGAUUUAUUGGGUUUAAAGGGUGCGUAGGCGGAAUGCCAAGUCAGCGGUAAAAUCGCGGGGCUCAACCUCGUUCCGCCGUUGAAACUGGCG